GCCGGGCGCGGGGGCUCACGCCUGUAAUCCUAGCACUUUGGGAGGCCGAGGCAGGCGAAUUGCCUGAGCUCAGGAGUUCGAGACCAGCCUGGGCAACAUGGUGAAAGCCUGUCUCUA
rnacentral:SRP_RNA from 1 species